rnacentral:misc_RNA from 1 species
UACGGAGGGUGCGAGCGUUAAUCGGAGUUACUGGGCGUAAAGCGCGCGUAGGUGGCUUGAUACGCCGUUUGUGAAAGCCCCGGGCUCAACCUGGGAACGGCAUCCGGAACUGUCAAGCUAGAGUACAGGAGAGGAAGGUAGAAUUCCAGGUGUAGCGGUGAAAUGCGUAGAGAUCGGGAGGAAUACCAGUGGCGAAGGCGGCCUUCUGGAAGGAUACUGACACUGAGGUGCGAAAGCGUGGGUAGCAAACAGA